ACUGUACUUAUCCUGGGAUUACGUUACUGUUCAAUGAACAUAUAGUGAGAACAGUACUGCUAACUUUAGAAAAU
rnacentral:ncRNA from 11 species